rnacentral:rRNA from 1 species
UGCCAGCAGCCGCGGUAAUUCCAGCUCCAAUAGCGUAUAUUAAAGUUGUUGCAGUUAAAAAGCUCGUAGUCGGAUUUCGGGUCGGGCCGAGCGGUCUGCCGAUGGGUAUGCACUGUUCGGCGCGGCCUUCUUUCCGGAGACCGCGGCUACUCUUAACUGAGCGGGCGUGGGAGACGGAUCGUUUACUUUGAAAAAAUCAGAGUGUUUCAAGCAGGCAGCUCGCUCUUGCAUGGAUUAGCAUGGGAUAAUGAAAUAGGACUCUGGUGCUAUUUUGUUGGUUUCGAACACCGGAGUAAUGAUUAACAGGGACAGUCAGGGGCACUCGUAUUCCGUCGAGAGAGGUGAAAUUCUCAGACCAAUGGAAGACGAACCACUGCGAAAGCAUUUGCCAGGGAUGUUUUCACUGAUCAAGAACGAAAGUUAGGGGAUCGAAGACGAUCAGAUACCGUCGUAGUCUUAACCAUAAACCAUGCCGACUAGGGAUUGGAGGGUGUUCGUUUUGACCUCUUCAGCACCUUACGGGAAACUAAAGUCUUUGGGUUCCGGGGGGAGUAUGGUCGCAAGGCUGAAACUUAAAGGAAUUGACGGAAGGGCACCACCAGGAGUGGAGCCUGCGGCUUAAUUUGACUCAACACGGGGAAACUUACCAGGUCCAGACAUUGGGAGGAUUGACAGAUUGAGAGCUCUUUCUUGAUUCGAUGGGUGGUGGUGCAUGGCCGUUCUUAGUUGGUGGAGUGAUUUGUCUGGUUAAUUCCGUUAACGAACGAGACCCUUGCCUGCUAAAUAGUUCCGGUAACUUCAUGUUGUUGGUCAACUUCUUAGAGGGACAACUUAGUAGAACUAAGUGGAAGUUAGGGGCAAUAACAGGUCUGUGAUGCCCAAGGGCGAUCGUUAACUGCAGGAC